GAUGAACGCUGGCGGCGUGCUUAAUACAUGCAAGUCGAACGAAGAUUAUUGAGCUUGCUUAAUGAUCUUAGUGGCGAACGGGUGAGUAAUACAUAAGCAACCUGCCCAUCAGACUGGGAUAACAGUUGGAAACGACUGCUAAUACCGGAUAGGUAAAUUGAAGGCAUCUUUGAUUUAUUAAAGUUUAGAGACACUGAUGGAUGGGCUUAUGGCGCAUUAGCUAGUUGGUGAGGUAACGGCCCACCAAGGCGAUGAUGCGUAGCCGACCUGAGAGGGUGACCGGCCACAUUGGGACUGAGACACGGCCCAAACUCCUACGGGAGGCAGCAGUAAGGAAUUUUCGGCAAUGGGCGCAAGCCUGACCGAGCAACGCCGCGUGAGUGAAGAAGGCCCUAUGGGUUGUAAAGCUCUGUUGUAAAGGAGAACACUAUUGAAGAAUCAGUAGCUGACGGUACUUUACCAGAAAGCCACGGCUAACUACGUGCC
rnacentral:rRNA from 1 species